rnacentral:rRNA from 1 species
GCGGCGCAUUAGCUAGUCGGCGGGGUAACGGCCCACCGAGGCGACGAUGCGUAGGGGUUCUGAGAGGAAGGUCCCCCACACUGGUACUGAGACACGGACCAGACUCCUACGGGAGGCAGCAGUGAGGAAUAUUGGUCAAUGGCCGGGAGGCUGAACCAGCCAAGUCGCGUGAGGGAAGACGGCCCUACGGGUUGUAAACCUCUUUUGUCAGGGAGCAAGAGGCGGGUCGAGACCUGCUGUGAGAGUACCUGAAGAAAAAGCAUCGGCUAACUCCGUGCCAGCAGCCGCGGUAAUACGGAGGAUGCGAGCGUUAUCCGGAUUUAUUGGGUUUAAAGGGUGCGCAGGCGGAGGCACAAGUCAGCGGUAAAAUCGCGGGGCUCAACCCCGCUCCGCCGUUGAAACUGUGUCCCUUGAGUGCGCGAAGGGUAGGCGGAAUGCGUGGUGUAGCGGUGAAAUGCAUAGAUAUCACGCAGAACUCCGAUCGCGAAGGCAGCCUACCGGCGCGCAACUGACGCUCAUGCACGAAAGCGUGGGUAUCGAACAGGAUUAGAUACCCUGGUAGUCCACGCAGUAAACGAUGAAUGCUAUCUGUCCGGCCGGAAUGACGGCUGGGUGGC